CUAGCUUGCUAGGUGGAUUAGUGGCGCACGGGUGAGUAAUAUAUAGAUAACGUGCCUCUUAGUCUGGGAUAGCCAUUGGAAACGAUGAUUAAUACUAGAUACUCCUUCUAACUCUAAUGUUAGUCGGGAAAGUUUUUCGCUAAGAGACCGGUCUAUAUCCCAUCAGCUAGUUGGUAGUGUAAGAGACUACCAAGGCAAUGACGGGUAGCGGGUUUGAGAGGAUGAUCCGCCACACUGGUACUGAGACACGGACCAGACUCCUACGGGAGGCAGCAGUGAGGAAUAUUGCACAAUGGAGGAAACUCUGAUGCAGCAACGCCGCGUGGAGGAUGACGCAUUUCGGUGUGUAAACUCCUUUUAUAUGUCAAGAAAAUGACGGUAGCAUAUGAAUAAGCACCGGCUAACUCCGUGCCAGCAGCCGCGGUAAUACGGAGGGUGCAAGCGUUAUUCGGAAUCACUGGGCGUAAAGGACGCGUAGGCGGGAUGC
rnacentral:rRNA from 1 species